GAACUGAUGACUGAGGGCAGAAGAGGGGGAGGUGGACUCCCAGUGUAGCGGUGAAUGCGUAGAUAUUCGGACGAUCACAGUGCGAAGCUGCUCUCCUGACCUGUUUCUGACGCUGAGGCGGCGAAGCGUGGGGAGCAACGGGAUUAGAUACCCUGGUAGUCACGCCAGUAAACGAUGGGUGCUAGGUGUAGGAGGUAUCGACCCCAUCUGUGCCGUAGUUAACACAAUAAGCACCCCGCCUGGGGAGUACGGCCGCAAGGUUGAAACUCAAAGGAAUUGACGGGGGCCCGCACAAGCGGUGGAGCAUGUGGUUUAAUUCGACGCAACGCGAAGAACCUUACCAGGGCUUGACAUCCUCUGACCGCAUAUGAAAGUAUGUUUUCUGGCUUCGGUCAGACAGAGAGACAGGUGGUGCAUGGUUGUCGUCAGCUCGUGUCGUGAGAUGUUGGGUUAAGUCCCGCAACGAGCGCAAC
rnacentral:rRNA from 1 species